CAGAGACAGUGUUGUAAAUAAUGAUACUGAAAGGGGAACCUUGUAAUGUUACCAGUCCAUUCUAAGAAAAAGAAGAAUGUGAGGUUGUAGAGCAAGAAAAAACAGCUAUCACCGAGGAAAUACUGCCACACAUUGUAGAAUGAAGACUAUUACUAAAGAACAUAAUAUGUAAAACAGCAACACACAGCAAAACCACCAAACAGAACUCGCACCUAAGCCCUUGGCAUGAAUAAACUUAGGGCCUGCACACUCUUGAGUGCAGGAAGCCUCAUCUCAUUUGAAAAAGGCACCUCCUGCUGAGUCAGUCUGUUAACACAACAUAGCUGAAAAGUCCACAGCCUUGUGUGCUUCUACCCUCUCCGGAUACCAACGAACCUGGUAUGACCAAGCAGGCAGGUCACUUGUUGAAAUCUCCGCUUCAAAACAUCUACAGGUUCUGUUGUCAAGGAUCUUAACAGCCUCUGCUUGGAAAGUCCAGCCUCUCUUCACUUCUGGGAAAUCUUAAGAAAACACAGAAGCAUUGUCGAACUCAAAAGUGGAAGUCGAGGAUUUGAAAUGUGAUGGUACAUCCUGUUCCCCCCACAACCCUCCCACCCCCGAAGAAGCAGCAGGAUUAGAAGAAACUUCUU